UACGUAGGGGGCAAGCGUUAUCCGGAUUUACUGGGUGUAAAGGGAGCGUAGACGGCCAGACAAGUCUGAAGUGAAAAUCCAGCGCUUAACGUUGGAAGUGCUUUGGAAACUGCCGGGCUAGAGUGCAGGAGGGGCAGGCGGAAUUCCUAGUGUAGCGGUGAAGUGCGUAGAUAUUAGGAGGAACACCAGUGGCGAAGGCGGCCUGCUGGACUGCAACUGACGUUGAGGCGCGAAAGCGUGGGGAGCAAACAGG
rnacentral:rRNA from 1 species